rnacentral:rRNA from 1 species
UACGUAGGGGGCAAGCGUUGUCCGGAAUUAUUGGGCGUAAAGAGCGCGUAGGCGGUCCGGUAAGUCAGCUGUGAAAGUCCAGGGCUCAACCCUGGAAGGCCGGUGGAAACUGUCGGGCUAGAGUCCGGAAGAGGCGAGUGGAAUUCCUGGUGUAGCGGUGGGAAUGCGUAGAGAUCCGGAAGAACACCGGUGGCGAAGGCGGCCCGACUGGGCAGGAAGACACCGCAAGGUGUCGGCUGACG